GGCCCCCUGUGUUUGUUUAUAAGUAGUUAUGGGGGGUCGGGCCUGCCCGGUGAUAAGUUAAACGGCUGCCGUAAUGGGUGCUAAGGUAGCAAAAUCUAUUGCCCUUUAAUUGGGGGCGUGUGAAUGGUCUGACGUGGGCUUAACUGUCUCACUUUAGUUUAUAGUGAAAUUUACUUUUGGGUGAGAAGGCCUAAAUUUGCUGGUUGGACGAGAAGACCCUGAUGAGCUUUAUCCGUGGGAAAGGGCUGUUUUUUAGAGGAAUUGGUUGGGGCAACCUAAGAGUAAAAAGAACCUCUUUUAUUAACUAGUUCUGAUGGGGUGAUCCGCGGUGUGCGAUUAUCAGAGGGAGCUACCACAGGGAUAACAGCGUAAUCUUUCUUGAGAGUCCGUAUUGACGGAAGGGGUUGCGACCUCNNAUGUUGAAUUAGGGUGUCCGUGGGGUGUAGAGACCUCAGAAGGUGGGUCUGUUCGACCAUUAAAGCCCUACA
rnacentral:rRNA from 1 species